rnacentral:rRNA from 1 species
CAGUCGCCGCGGUAAAACGGAGGGUGCAAGCGUUAAUCGGAAUUACUGGGCGUAAAGCGCACGCAGGCGGUCUGACAAGUCAGAUGUGAAAUCCCCGGGCUUAACCUGGGAACUGCAUUUGAAACUGUCAGGCUGGAGUCUUGUAGAGGGGGGUGGAAUUCCAGGUGUAGCGGUGAAAUGCGUAGAGAUCUGGAGGAAUACCGGUGGCGAAGGCGGCCCCUUGGACAAAGACUGACGCUCAGGUGCGAAAGCGUGGGGAGCAAACAGGAUUAGAUACCCCGGUAGUCCCUGUCUCUUAUAC